rnacentral:rRNA from 1 species
GGAUCGGCUAACUCCGUGCCAGCAGCCGCGGUAAUACGGAGGAUCCGAGCGUUAUCCGGAUUUAUUGGGUUUAAAGGGAGCGUAGGUGGAAGAUUAAGUCAGUUGUGAAAGUUUGCGGCUCAACCGUAAAAUUGCAGUUGAUACUGGUUUCUUGAGUGCAGUAGAGGUGGGCGGAAUUCGUGGUGUAGCGGUGAAAUGCUUAGAUAUCACGAAGAACUCCGAUUGCGAAGGCAGCUCACUGGACUGUAACUGACACUGAUGCUCGAAAGUGUGGGUAUCAAACAGGAUUAGAUACCCUGGUAGUCCACACAGUAAACGAUGAAUACUCGCUGUUUGCGAUAUACAGUAAGCGGCCAAGCGAAAGCGUUAAGUAUUCCACCUGGGGAGUACGCCGGCA